rnacentral:sRNA from 1 species
AAAACAAAAAGACGAAAAAAA